rnacentral:snRNA from 1 species
GGAUGUGAGGGCGAUCUGGCUGCGACAUCUGUCACCCCAUUGAUCGCCAGGGUUGAUUCGGCUGAUCUGGCUGGCUAGGCUGGUGUCCCCUUCCUCCCUCACCGCUCCAUGUGCGUCCCUCCCGAAGCUGCGCGCUCGGUCGAAGAGGACGACCAUCCCCGAUAGAGGAGGACCGUUCUUCGGUCAAGGGUAUACGAGUAGCUGCGCUCCCCUGCUAGAACCUCCAAACAAGCUCUCAAAAUAGAGGACUGUUACUCCUAAAGCCAUCUCCAUUUUACUAAAUGGCAACACUAGUGUUCUAGUUACCUUA